rnacentral:tRNA from 1 species
CAGAAAAUAUUUUAAUCUUAGAAUGCCAGCUUUGGGAGCCGGCGGCGGGAGUUCAAAUCUCCUUUUUCUGA